rnacentral:tRNA from 1 species
UCCCUGAUAGCUCAGUGGGUAAAGAAUCUGCCUGCAAUGCAGGAGACUUAGGUUUGAUCCCUGGGUUGGGAA